GGCAACUUGGCCGAGUGGUUAAGGCGAUAGAUUAGAAAUCUCUUGGGCUCUGCCCGCACAGGUUCGAAUCCUGUAGUUGUCG
rfam:Tetrapisispora blattae CBS 6284 chromosome 3, complete genome